rnacentral:lncRNA from 1 species
CCACGACCAAGUACUCGCUGAUAGAGUGGAGUCGGUUGUCGAGUAUUGGAACCUAGGUCUGCGCCCCACAAGCCCCAUUCGGACUCGCUGCCCCCUACUGGUGUCAAGCACUUGUACUCGGAGUCGUUGGUCCUGUGUGCCUGGUUGACGUCAUCGUCGUGCUGUUCAGAGGUUUCAAACAGAGCAAUGCCUACCCUGUGCCAGCCACACCUCGUUCACAUGGCUUCUCCCGCGCUUCCGAACCUCGCCGGCAAGCUGUGUGGCCUAUACCACGCAUUGAGCACGCUGCUGCUUCAGAAAGUAAAGCUGCUGUUGCCAAAA